rnacentral:lncRNA from 13 species
CCCCAUGCUAUUCUUGUAAUAGUAAGUUCUCAGGAGGUCUGAUGGUUUUAUAAGGGGCUUUCCCCUUCAUUUUGCUCUCAUUCUUCUUCCUGCCACCCUGUGAAGAAGGACGUGUUUGUUUCAACUUCUGCCAUGAUUGUUUACAAAUCCGAGGAAACAAGCAUUUAUGGAAAACAUAGGAACUGCAUAUUUUCUGUUUCUGCAUGAUACUGA